CUCAGAAUAAGAGCAUUGACGAUCUCGUUUUGAACGCUGGCGCUGCUGGUGGUGCCGCUGUUGCCGUAUCUACUCCUGCCGCUGCUGCUGCUGGUGGAGCCGCUGCAGCUGCCGCACCUGCCGCCGAGGCCAAGAAGGUACUGUUAGUAAUGCUUUAUAUUAGGUUUCUGUCUUAAGGGUUAUAUUUAGUAAUGAUAUAUUAUUGAUUGAUGUUUUAACCUAAUACUAUUGAAACUUCAAUUGUAAAUUGAAAUUUGUGUACAUUUUCAAGUUUGGAUGAUCAUUUCAUAGAGGCUUUGUUGAAUGUAGUGUUAAAUGUAUACCUCGAUGUUCAACAGAUUAGACAAUAAUUAGUGGGGUUUAAUUUUUUUUAAUGCGGGUAGACUGUAACCCUUUUAGAUGUAUAAAGACAUGAAAUAGACUUAAUAGUUUUUGAGAACACAUAGAACAGAUUAUUUGUGCUUGCUGUAUUUUUUUUAUACUUGUCACUUUUAUUUAUCGAGUCAUGUUUCUGGUUUCUCUGAGCCCAGUUCGGAAUAUUUAUAUGUAAACCUACUGUUAAAUUUUGUAAUUUCGCUGUCUGAACGACAACAAAGAUAUUAAUUGCUUUAUGGUAACAAGAUUGUAAUUUGAUUGUUGUAGUUUCAUUGAAAUUUGGGAAUUCAACUAUCAAUUGUAGCUUAAUAGUUCUUUGAGUGUAAUUAUCCACAAUUAGUAAUAGUAUUUUUGGGUAUUAUUUUGCUCUCACAUUAAUUGAGUUUAAUGUAGUAUUAUUAUAGGUUAUGCAGUUCGUAAUCAGCACUGCACAGACUUUAUUAACUGCAUAUUGUAUAUUGUACUAAAAAACUUAUAGCUUGAUGCAGUCCAUACUUGCUACUUAAUAUGAUAUUGUAUAUAAGUAACUGAAUGUGCUUCAUAUUUUGUGUUUGUAGGAAGAGGCAAAGGAAGAAAGUGACGAUGACAUGGGCUUUAGUUUGUUUGAUUAGGUUUUUCAUUUUAGUUUGUCAAUCCAGACUUGUACUCCUUUCUAGGAGUGUUUUUUGGAGACACUUGUUUUGUUUUAUAAAUUGUUUAUCUAAGUGAGUCUUAGCA
rnacentral:lncRNA from 1 species